rnacentral:rRNA from 1 species
GACGAACGCUGGCGGCGUGCUUAACACAUGCAAGUCGAACGGAAAGGCCCUGCUUUUGUGGGGUGCUCGAGUGGCGAACGGGUGAGUAACACGUGAGUAACCUGCCCUUGACUUUGGGAUAACUUCAGGAAACUGGGGCUAAUACCGGAUAGGAGCUCCUGCUGCAUGGUGGGGGUUGGAAAGUUUCGGCGGUUGGGGAUGGACUCGCGGCUUAUCAGCUUGUUGGUGGGGUAGUGGCUUACCAAGGCUUUGACGGGUAGCCGGCCUGAGAGGGUGACCGGCCACAUUGGGACUGAGAUACGGCCCAGACUCCUACGGGAGGCAGCAGUGGGGAAUAUUGCACAAUGGGCGGAAGACUGAUGCAGCAACGCCGCGUGCGGGAUGACGGCCUUCGGGUUGUAAACCGCUUUCGCCUGUGACGAAGCGUGAGUGACGGUAAUGGGUAAAGAAGCACCGGCUAACUACGUG